CAUGCAAGUCGAACGAGGAUGUAUCCUUCGGGAUAUAAGCCGAGUGGCGCAAGGGUGAGUAAUGCAUAGAUUACCUGCCUCUAGGAUAAGGACAACUUUGUGAAAACGAAGCUAAUACUUAAUGAUACAAAAGGAAAUAAUUUUCUUUUGUCAAUGGGAGGGUAGCAAUACCUUUUGCCUAGAGAGGGGUUUAUGUCCUAUCAGCUUGUUGGUGGGGUAAUGGCCUACCAAGGCGAAGACGGGUAGCCGGUCUUAGAGGAUGGUCGGCCACACUGGGACUGAGACACUGCCCAGACUUCUACGGAAGGCUGCAGUCGAGAAUCUUUCGCAAUGCCCGAAAGGGUGACGAAGCGACGCCGCGUGAGUGAGGAAGGCCUUAGGGUUGUAAAGCUCUGUCAGGAGUUAAGAAAUAUAAAUGUGCUAAUACCACAUUUAUUUGACGAAGGCUCCAAAGGAAGCCACGGCUAACUCUGUGCCAGCAGCCGCGGUAAUACAGAGGUGGCAAGCGUUGUUCGGAAUUAUUGGACGUAAAGAGCACGUAGGUGGGUUUGUAAGUCAGAUGUGAAAGCCUUCUGUUCAACGGAAGAAUUGCAUCUGAAACUACAAGUCUUGAGUGUAGGAGGGGAGAAUGGAACUUCUGGUGGAGCGGUGAAAUGCGUAGAUAUCAGAAGGAACGCCGGCGGCGAAAGCGAUUCUCUGGCCUAUUACUGACACUCAGUGUGCGAAAGCUAGGGGAGCAAACGGGAUUAGAUACCCCGGUAGUCCUAGCCGUAAACGAUGGGCACUAAGUAGAGGGAAUUACCGAUGUUCUCUCUGCCGUAGCUAACGCAUUAAGUGCCCCGCCUGGGGAGUACGGCCGCAAGGCUAAAACUCAAAAGAAUUGACGGGGGCUCGCACAAGCGGUGGAGCAUGUGGCUUAAUUCGAUGCAACGCGAAAAACCUUACCGGGGCUUGACAUGGUAGAAGUAGGAACCCGAAAGGGUAACGAACGGUAUCCAGUCCGUAGCUAUCACAGGUGUUGCAUGGCUGUCGUCAGCUCGUGUCGUGAGACGUUGGGUUAAGUCCCCUAACGAGCGAAACCCUUGUUUUUAGUUACCAGCGGGUUAUGCCGGGUACUCUAGAAAGACUGCCGUCGUCAAGACGGAGGAAGGUGGGGAUGACGUCAAGUCAUCAUGGCCCUUAUGCCCCGGGCUGCACACGUGCUACAAUGGUCGGUACAAACGGAAGCGAAGCCGAGAGGUGAAGCGAAUCCUAAAAAGCCGAUCUCAGUUCGGAUUGGAGGCUGAAAUUCGCCUCCAUGAAGUUGGAAUCGCUAGUAAUCGCGGAUCAGCAAUGCCGCGGUGAAUAUGUUCCCGAGCCUUGUACACACCGCCCGUCAAGCCACCCAAGCAGGAUGCACCCGAAAACAUUAUAUCUAACCAGGGCAACUUGGAGGAAAGUGUUGAAGGAGUGUUUUGUGAGGAGGACUAAGUCGUAACAAGGUAGUCGUAGGAGAACCUGCGGCUGGAUCACCUCCUUUCU
rnacentral:rRNA from 1 species